GGAAACGACUGCUAAUACCCCAUAUGCCGAGAGGUGAAACAUUUUAUGGCCUGAGGAGGAGCUCGCGUCUGAUUAGCUAGUUGGUGGGGUAACGGCCUACCAAGGCGACGAUCAGUAGCUGGUCUGAGAGGAUGAUCAGCCACACUGGGACUGAGACACGGCCCAGACUCCUACGGGAGGCAGCAGUGGGGAAUUUUCCGCAAUGGGCGAAAGCCUGACGGAGCAAGACCGCGUGAGGGAGGAAGGUCUGUGGAUUGUAAACCUCUUUUCUCAGGGAAGAAGAACUGACGGUACCUGAGGAAUCAGCAUCGGCUAACUCCGUGCCAGCAGCCGCGGUAAUACGGAGGAUGCAAGCGUUAUCCGGAAUUAUUGGGCGUAAAGCGUCCGUAGGUGGCUAAGCAAGUCUGCUGUUAAAGAGCGGAGCUAAACUCCGUAAAGGCGGUGGAAACUGCAUAGCUAGAGUGUGGUAGGGGUAGAGGGAAUUCCCAGUGUAGCGGUGAAAUGCGUAGAUAUUGGGAAGAACACCGGUGGCGAAGGCGCUCUACUGGGCCACAACUGACACUGAUGGACGAAAGCUAGGGGAGC
rnacentral:rRNA from 1 species